UAAUACCGCAUGAUACCUGAGGGUCAAAGGCGCAAGUCGCCUGUGGAGGAGCCUGCGUUUGAUUAGCUUGUUGGUGGGGUAAUGGCCUACCAAGGCGAUGAUCAAUAGCUGGUCUGAGAGGAUGAUCAGCCACACUGGGACUGAGACACGGCCCAGACUCCUACGGGAGGCAGCAGUGGGGAAUAUUGGACAAUGGGGGCAACCCUGAUCCAGCAAUGCCGCGUGUGUGAAGAAGGUUUUCGGAUUGUAAAGCACUUUCGACGGGGACGAUGAUGACGGUACCCGUAGAAGAAGCCCCGGCUAACUUCGUGCCAGCAGCCGCGGUAAUACGAAGGGGGCUAGCGUUGCUCGGAAUGACUGGGCGUAAAGGGCGUGUAGGCGGUUUGUACAGUCAGAUGUGAAAUCCCCGGGCUUAACCUGGGAGCUGCAUUUGAUACGUGCAGACUAGAGUGUGAGAGAGGGUUGUGGAAUUCCCAGUGUAGAGGUGAAAUUCGUAGAUAUUGGGAAGAACACCGGUGGCGAAGGCGGCAACCUGGCUCAUAACUGACGCUGAGGCGCGAAAGCGUGGGGAGCAAACAGGAUUAGAUACCCUG
rnacentral:rRNA from 1 species